rnacentral:lncRNA from 1 species
AGCUCAAGGUAUCCAUUAAUUGACCUGCUUUGCUGAUCAACAAUAUCUGUUUCCUCUACUUUGAUGUCAGAAAAUCUAGUUUUCGCUGUUGCUGGAGAGUGAGACAGAAAAGACAUACUAGGUUCAGUUGUCACUUAAAUGGAAUCAGAGCAAAGACAUACAUUAAUUGACAAGCUUCACAUUUGAUUUCAUUGUGGCUUGAUUUUCUGGCAUGAGAGUGAGACAGAAAAGACAUACUCGGUUCAGUUGUCACUUUCAUGGAAUCAGAGCAAGCAGGUUCGAAUUCAUCUGCUUUAAAUCCCAAUGGGUACUCUUUCCCCAAGCAUUGGUAUUUUGCAAUUUUGAGUCCUCGUAGGCUGGGGAAUGCAGAUGCAU